CUAUAUUAACAAAAUAGUACAACUUCAAAUACCAAAAAAGAAAUAAUAGAGGUACACUCUAAUUAAACGGGUCAUGGAUAAAACCCAGUAACCCGGCCCAUAACACUUCUUUAGCCGCAGUUCCUGCUUGGGAAGUAGAAGCAGCAUAUCUAUCUAGUAUCUACAUUUCUCUCUCUCUCUCUCACAGUUUUUCCCUAUCAAAGUUUCCUCCAUCUCUCAAACUCCUCUAUCCUUCACCUUCUUAUUAGGGUUUCUUGUUAAUCACUUCGUACACUCAAAAACACUAAAAAAAAACCUAUAAACUUGAACAGAAGUGAUGCGUUUGUGUUUGUUUCUACACAUCAUAAAUCUUAGAGCAUAGUACAGAAGUUGUGUGUGUGUGUGUGUUUUUUCUCUCUCUAGUAGGAUCUGUUUUGGUUCAGCAAAAAAGAACAAAUCUGAAGAAAAGGGGGGCUAUGCAAUCAGAUUAUGAAAUGGCUGGGAUCCAUCAACACAGAAAUAGAAACCAACAGCCACAAGUGGAGCAACAACAGCAGCAGCAACAGCAUAGAUUUAUAAUGGAAAAUGCUUCAACUUCUUCACCAUUUUUUCCAAUAAACUAUAGUCAUCACUACCCUCCUCAACAACCAAAUCCUCUUCUUCAACCUUUUACUCAACAGUUUUUCCAAUACCAACAUCUCCAUUACAGAUCCAUUUUAGAACAACAACAACAUCAAGAUAUAAGGCUAGAGCUCAACGCAGAAGGCGAAAAUCAUCAAGUUCAAGGUGUUUCAGUCCCAUUUUUUCCUUUAAGUUUCAAGGAAGAUAGUAGUAGUAAAGGAGAAAGAGAAGAAGAUGCUUUGAUUCGUGGGAGUGAGGGAUACUGCAACGAGGCUCGACAAACUUCUCUAGCUGUGUCUCAUUGUUGGCAAAACCAAGAAGAUUCUGCUAUUAAACAACCUUUCUGGAAGCCCCUUUGUGCGGAAUUUUCAAAUGGGAAUAACAACAACAGCAAUGAAAGUGAAAAGAAUAAACAAGAAGAGGAUCAAGAAAUGUAUCCUGACGAAAUCCAUCAGCAGCAAAUUAUUAAGAGCUUAGAAGAAAAUAAAUGUAGAGUUGUAUUUGGAGAGUUAGAAGCCAUUUAUGCUACAAAUGCUGAGACUAAUACUACUGCUACUACUAAUAUUCAUCGAAUGGCAUCUGAAUCUGUUCUCACUGCUGAAGAUUUACCAAUUAAUAAUAACAAUAAUGUCUCUUUUCCUGUGGCAACUUGCAACGAUUCUAAUCAAACCAGUGGGCCCACUGCCAUUGCUACAACAACUCCUGGUGCAAUUGAUAUUGGAUCAGACAGUGCAUCAGUUGGAGAAGCAACAAGGGAAGACGAAGUUCAUAAUAAAAGGAAGAGAAGGAGAAAAGCAAAAGAAGGAACAAGUAUUACAAUGGCAAGAUUUUUCGAAUCCUUAGUAAAGAAACUCGUGAACCAUCAAGAAGAUCUUCAAAAGAGGUUUAUGGAAACGAUUGAGCGAUUGGAUCAAGAACGAAAAGAGAGAGAAGAAACUUGGAGGGAGCAAGAAUUAGCAAAGCUUAAAAAAGAAGCAGCUGUUAGAGCUCAAGAAAGAACAUUGGCUUCAAAUAGAGAAGCUGCUCUUGUUUCUUACUUAGAAAAACUCACCGGUCAAAAGAUCAAUUUUCAACAUGGAUCAGAACCAGAUAAGAGCUGUAAUAGCUUGGUAAAGUUGAAUAACAAGAGAUGGCCACAAGCUGAAGUUGAGGCUUUAAUUCAGAUUAGAAAUAGCUUGGAAUCUAAGUUCCAAGAGGCUGCAGGUCCAAAAGGGGUACUUUGGGAAGAGAUAAGUAACUCAAUGGCUUCAAUGGGAUUUGAGAGAAGUGCCAGAAGAUGUAAAGAGAAGUGGGAGAAUAUGCAUAAAUGUCGUACGGUCAAGAGAACAAAAGAAAUCACGAGGGAACAGUUAGAUGAUGGAAAUAAUAAUAUUGACUUUGUAACUCAAGGAAAUGAUACUGUUGAUGAUCAUUUGGGUACUGUCAACCUAACUGAAGGAAACAAAGGGAAUAGUGAAAAAGAUAAACAUGGAAAUGGUGAGAGCAAAAAUGGAAAUUGGAAAGAAGAAAUGGAAGAAAUAAAAGAAGGUGAGAUAUGAAUUAAGGAUUCAUUUCAUCAGAAUCCAGACAAAUGAGACAGCCAAGCUAAGAACAUUACUGGUUCCUUUCAGGCCAUACCAACAAAACUUUGUCCUAAAUUAAAGAUAUGCAAAACAUGGUGCCUUGGUAUACUUAGUAGCACAUAGUUGAAUGAAGUAGUUCAAUCUCAUUUCUUAUGCAUUGGAAAUUAUUAUAUGUUGAAGCUUUGUUGUCUUUAAACUAAGGCAAUACAAUUAUGGGGAAAAUUGGACACCGAGGAAGUGAUGCUUAGGAAGCAUGAUGAAAGAUUAGCAGAUGGCAGACAACCAGCUGGACAUAUUAAAUUACAUUGCUAGCUUAGUUUUUUUUAUACUAUCAGUGUAUAUGAGUUAAAUCUUUAUCGCAAUAUAUUGAUGUCUUGUUCCUACUACUAUUAUACUCGAUAAGGAGGUCGAGUGUCAACAACCAAGCAAAAAUUUUGGAUAUUGUGUUUUAGAUUUUUUGUCAUUUAAGUCGUCGUAUCUUUUCUUCCCAUUAUUUGAACAGUUGUUAUAUUGGCUUGGACAGUCCCUAGCAACGAGUACAAGGUCAUAUUGCUAGACGUGGUCCAAACUUUUGAGGUCUGGGGGUAAUUAAGAGGAAUUGUACUGUAA